rnacentral:rRNA from 1 species
GACAACAGUUGGAAACGACUGCUAAUACCCCAUAUGCUUUCGAGUGAAAUGGAUUUAUAUUUAUCCGCCUAGAGAGAAGCUCGCGGCUGAUUAGCUUGUUGGUAAGGUAAGAGCUUACCAAGGCGACGAUCAGUAUCUGGUUUGAGAGGACGAUCAGACACACUGGAACUGAGACACGGUCCAGACUCCUACGGGAGGCAGCAGUGGGGAAUUUUCCGCAAUGGGCGAAAGCCUGACGGAGCAAUACCGCGUGAGGGAAGACUGCCUAUGGGUUGUAAACCUCUUUUUUCA